UACGAAGGGGGCUAGCGUUGUUCGGAAUUACUGGGCGUAAAGCGCACGUAGGCGGACAUUUAAGUCAGGGGUGAAAUCCCGGGGCUCAACCCCGGAACUGCCUUUGAUACUGGGUGUCUUGAGUGUGGUAGAGGUGAGUGGAAUUGCGAGUGUAGAGGUGAAAUUCGUAGAUAUUCGCAGGAACACCGGUGGCGAAAGCGGCUCUCUGGCCCGGUUCUGGACGCUGAGGCGCGAAAGCGUGGGGAGCAAACAGGG
rnacentral:rRNA from 1 species